UGAAUAAAGAAUGAGUUCUGGGAAUGGAGCAUCAUCCUCGGCUCCCCAGAUUCCUGUCUUCUGGGGAGGCGUGUUCACUGAUUCAAGGGACAGUGACCAUCUUCAGCAAUACACCAGGAGGUGGAAGGAGCAAAGGGAAAAGGACACAGGAAGCCCCAGCCUCCCCAGACUUGCAUCUCUAAAGGAUACCCUGGCUGCUGUACCCAGCACAGAGGGAAAGAGGAAGGCAAACAGGGAAUGAUCCAGCAGCCUCCAGGACUCUUCACUCUUUAUUCAACCUCUGCGGCCCCACACCGACCAGAAGCUGGAAGAAUGAAUUCAAAGAAGACAUACCCAAGGCCAUCUUUUCCUUGGAUCAUGUGAUAUCCAAACUAACCACUUGGUGGCACCAAAGCAGAAGUUAAACAUUAAACUCUGGUUUAGCCCAGCCUCCAGAUUGCCAUCACCUACGUUUUCCAAGAUAAGAGGAGGUUUCAGGUAAGUCAACUUGUCCCCACAAGACAACAGGCAGGGUGAUCCUGCUCAUUCAGGCUGAUGUGGUGGAGGAGAAGACAGGUUUAGUGUUGGGGAAUGUUUUAAAGAUUCUGAAUGUUGAUAGUCUGGCCUAAUUUGGAGUACAGCCUACCUAAGCAUGUCUGGGCAGCCAGGCCAAGCCCUAAAUCCGUCAGUUCACAGAAAUGGGUAGACACAAGACUUCUCUCCGGGAUGAAUUAGGAGAAGAUGUAGUGUAGACUGUAGACUAUGGUGACCAGCCAUAACCUGUGAAA